CUUAAAGACUAGCCUGCACAUCACAUCAUAAAUUACUCCACACAAAUCAAACCAUUUGACAAACCAAGUAUAUGAGAUAGAACCGUACCUCCAGCGCAAUAGCCUAAGCCGUACCACAAGGGAACCAUGAAAGACAACUAAACAAAUCAAGCACGACACAGCAGGAGUGAUACCCCGUACCUUUUGCAUCAUGAUUUAGCCAGCCAUCUACCCACAAAGUGCCCUAUGCUGGUCACCCCGAAACCAGACGAGCUACCUAAAAGCAAUCACCAAGGAUCAACCCAGCUCUGUAGCAAAAGCGCGGGACGACUUUUAGGUAGAGGCGAAACACCAACCGAGUCUGGUGAUAGCCGUCCCCCC
rnacentral:rRNA from 1 species